AUCUAACCAAACAACCUUACACAAGGAAUCGGGAAUGUCUGUCCUGAAGCUGGCAACAGCAGAGCACAAUUCGGAGAAAUUACCAGCACUGGAAUCGAUUACAACUACCGUGAAAGAUUUGGUGAGGUAGUCGAUUAAUCUCAAAUCGGGCUUCCCAGAAUGAUUGCAGUGAGAAAAAUCCAACUUGCGCUUUAUCUUUUCAAGCUCUUGUUAUGCAGAGAAUCACAUGGGAAUGGGAUCCCUCUGAUCUAGCUGCAGGGUUCCUGAUAAAUGAAAAAUGUGGAUGAAAUCCAUUCGGAGAGUCUUCUAAAGGUUCAGCCACCUCAGGUUGACAUGCGGUAAGCAGAACAGUGAACCUGAAACAAGUGCCUCUUUCACCAGGCUCUUUCUCAACAAUUCCUAUUUCUCCAUCCAUCAGGCGCACCUACAAACAAAGACAAUGAAUCUUUCAGUUCCUGUCCGAUCUGACUACAAUGACAUGGUUUGGACAGCAAUGGGAAGUAACAGAGACAAAAGGAGGUAGCAAACUCACCUAGGAGGUCCUUUGCACAAGUCUUUGUUUGAGCCAAAUUUUCAGCUAACUCGGAGGCAGGAUUGACUUCAUCAUGACAAAGAUCCAGCAAAGUUGUGAUUGCUGCCAAGGAAGAUCGGAUGUCAUGGUUUGCCCUCAAAUAGCUCUGAUGGUGAAGAAAAUGAAGAUGCUGACUGCCACAACUAUGGAUAUAAACAUGAGCUUGAGAAGCAUCAAUGAUAGCUUGCUGUUCUUUUGGAUUUGGCCUACCAGCUUAUUGCUGGGAUAAGCUAACACAUAUACCUGAAAAUUCAAGUUGUAUGAGUUUUGAUCAGCUUAAUUAACAAAAUAUUUAGCUUGCAUUCUGAAACUCUGACCAAAGGCCUUCCAUUGAUGCAGAAAGACUUACAGAAGGAACUCCAGCAAUCUCAAUGGUGGAGCAAUAAAAUGUGUACUUCUCUCCCAUGAUUCUGCCAUUAAAGGAUCCUAAUUUCCCAUCAGCAGAUACACAUGAAACAUUACCUACACCACGUAUUUG